rnacentral:lncRNA from 1 species
GGAGUUUUUACCCAGUUGGAUUUUCUCCUUCAACAUUUUGCUGUGUUUUUACUGCUUUCUGCUAUUUACUUUUCAACCGGUAAUUCAACUUAGGUAGAUAAAGUAUGUGAAUGAAUCUAGACAAUGUAUAAUUGAUGUGACUUGUUGCAUCAGUUAAUUAAUUAUUUUAAUUCCGCAUAAAUACCUAUUCACCCCCCCUUUAGGUGUUGGUUGGGUCGAACUAUUGCUUUUUCAAAUCAGAUCAAACUUGAUCUUCAAUGUGGCCAUAAUAUGUGAGGUAUUGGUAACCUAUGGCAAAAGUGAUGUUUUUGAUGCUCAUAUGACCGUCUGUUCUAACAUUUUUGGCUAUUCCAUUAUAUCAUAUAAUUCCUGGAUCCCUUAGUUAUUGUGGUUUCUUGUUUCUUCAUUGCUCUAGUAAUCGGAAUGGUGCAGUGUCACUGAAUAUGAUGGGCUAUUUCGAAAGGGGGUCAAAUGAAUGGUGCUUGGGUUGGAUUCUUCUCAUUGAUCUUGAUUUCUCAUCUUCUACCAAGAAUAGCUUUCGAGAAAAUUUGUUGCAUCUCCCUACAGCACAACUGGAGUUGUCUCUUUUGGAUUGUCGUAAAUGCGAUAUUUUUCUUGCUGAUAACUAAAAAUGCAUCUUGAAUCUGCAAGUUUAGGAUUCUUCAGUACAACUACUAACUUGAUGGAUCAUUAUAUAUCUUUGUAAUCUGCAGAUGCUAUUAUUUGCCAAUCCCUAUAUCUUUAUCUAUAGCAGGUUAGGAUUCUGUUUAUUACAGUAAAAAUCUUGAUAAAAGUUUUAUUUAGUGCAUUUCACAUAGUUUGAGAAGUACCACGAUUUUGCCCUUAUUUUCGUUCAUCCUUUUGAAGAAAGCGUCCUAAUUUCUGCAUCGGCUGCACCCAAAUUUCUUCUCCUGUCCUUCAAAAGAAAAACACUCACUCUUAUUCGGAUGCAUGAUUUUGACACAGUUGAACCUUAUCAACUAGCAUUUUUUGUGGUUGAAGAUUUCUCUCAAAUAUAUAAGUGCAUAAUCAUAUAUUAUGUAAUAAAUCAGUUCUUCCUUUUCUUUCCAUUCAUUUUUUCUCUACUUCUUCCUUGAUACGUAAUGGCUGAAAAUGGUAUACAGAGAUCGAACUCAAAAU